GGCUGGCUGGAACACAGGUGCUGCAUGGCUGUCGUCAGCUCGUGUCGUGAGAUGUUGGGUUAAGUCCCGCAACGAGCGCAACCCUCGCCCUUAGUUGCCAUCAUUCAGUUGGGCACUCUAGGGGGACUGCCGGUGAUAAGCCGCGAGGAAGGUGGGGAUGACGUCAAGUCCUCAUGGCCCUUACGGGUUGGGCUACACACGUGCUACAAUGGCGGUGACAAUGGGAUGCAAGGGCGCGAGCCUUAGCUAAUCUCAAAAAGCCGUCUCAGUUCGGACUGGGGUCUGCAACUCGACCCCACGAAGUCGGAAUCGCUAGUAAUCGUGGAUCAGCAUGCCACGGUGAAUACGUUCCCGGGCCUUGUACACACCGCCCGUCACACCAUGGGAGUUGGCUUUACCUGAAGGCGUUGCGCUAACCCGCAAGGGAGGCAGACGACCACGGUAGGGUCAGCGACUGGGGUGAAGUCGUAACAAGGUAGCCGUAGGGGAACCUGCGGCU
rnacentral:rRNA from 1 species